UACGGGGGGAGCAAGCGUUGUUCGGAUUUACUGGGCGUAAGGGCGCGUAGGCGGUCACUACAAGUCAGUUGUGAAAUCUCUGGGCUUAACUCAGAACGGUCAACUGAUACUGUCGAACUAGAGUGCAGAAGGGGCAACUGGAAUUCUCGGUGUAGCGGUGAAAUGCGUAGAUAUCGAGAGGAACACCGGUGGCGAAGGCGGGUCUCUGGGCCAUAACUGACGCUGAGGAGCGAAAAGCGUGGGGGAGCGAACAGG
rnacentral:rRNA from 1 species